GACGAACGCUGGCGGCGUGCUUAACACAUGCAAGUCGAACGGAAAGGCCCUGCUUUUGUGGGGUGCUCGAGUGGCGAACGGGUGAGUAACACGUGAGUAACCUGCCCUUGACUUUGGGAUAACUUCAGGAAACUGGGGCUAAUACCGGAUAGGAGCUCCUGCUGCUAGGUGGGGGAUGGAAAGUUUCGGCGGUUGGGGAUGGACUCGCGGCUUAUCAGCUUGUCGGUGGGGUAGUGGCUUACCAAGGUUUUGACGGGUAGCCGGCCUGAGAGGGUGACCGGCCACAUUGGGACUGAGAUACGGCCCAGACGCCUACGGGAGGCAUCAGUGGGGAAUAGUGCACAAUGGGCGGAAGCCUGAUGCAGCAACGCCGCGUGCGGGAUGACGGCCUUCGGGUUGUAAACCGCUUUCGCCUGUGACGAAGCGUGAGUGACGGUAAUGGGUAAAGAAGCACCGGCUAACUACGUG
rnacentral:rRNA from 1 species